rnacentral:rRNA from 1 species
UACGUAGGGGGCUAGCGUUGUCCGGAAUCAUUGGGCGUAAAGCGCGCGUAGGCGGCCAGAUAAGUCCGGUGUGAAAGUCACAGGCUCAACCUGUGGAUGCCGCUGGAAACUGUUUGGCUCGAGUCCGGAAGGGGCGAGUGGAAUUCCUGGUGUAGCGGUGAAAUGCGCAGAUAUCAGGAGGAACACCAAUGGCGAAGGCAGCUCGCUGGGACGGUACUGACGCUGAGGCGCGAAAGCGUGGGGAGCGAACAGG